rnacentral:lncRNA from 1 species
AUGUUAACUUUCCCUCUGAGAUCUCCUUACGGCCACUUCUUCCACAAUCAUCUCUGUUAUGCCAAACAAUUUACCUUAAACAAAAGACUGAGACACGAAGGCUUUUCUAUUGAAGUUCAUUUUAUUUACAUAAAAAGGGAAAAACAAAAACAGAACGCCACUGCAGUUUGGCGGGAAGAAAAACCAAUUUCACCUUAAUUGUGGGUGAUUAGGAUUUCUUCAAAGAACAAAGGAAUUGGUACAGUCUUAUAGCUGUCCCCUCAGGGCGAGAGGGGUGGGCCUUUGAGGUCAUUAAGUUAGUUAGCAACAAUUCAUUGGAUUAGUGAAAACACAUUUUAGACAUGCGCAGAACAAUUCACUUUCCCUAAAUUGGGCCUCUGUCUCAACAUUCCAUGCUUAUCUCAGAAAAGCGUGAGACCUUGAACAGAGAAGAAAAGGCAAGGAGAAAGGGGGGGUCGAGGAGCCUGUUUUUACAAGGCUGGAUAAUCUCUUCUGAAUACACACACAAACAGCUUGUUUUUAAGAACAAUCUUUUAUGAGGCAAUUGCCUCAUUUGAAUAAGUCAAACCUUUUGCUUCUAUCAUCUCUAUUGGUUAGAAUCAAUUCCAGGAAAGUCAAUCCUCUAGUUUCUCCUUUUUGUAGGAGAAAUUUAUCAGCAGCAUAAGCCAGAAAUUUCUUGGAAGGGCCAUAUUUGGCAGAAUAUGCUGCUCAACAUAUAAUUUAAAUCUCCCAUUAUUAUUACUCCAUCACAUCUUAAAAUUCUUGCAAUUUGUUUUUCAAAAACAUCAUCUGCAUCUUGGGCAGUUGGCAAAGAUUCCAAUUAUCACAUUCCAUUGCAUUGGAACCAGGGGUAAGGGUUAGUCAGAGAGAUACCCUAAGAAUGUUUUCCAUAUUUCACCCUUCCUAAAUCUAUAGGUAGACUGUUGAACUUCCAAUGCCUUCUUUUUGCCCUCUAUAUUUCAAAGAAGAUUUCCAGUACGUGAUCCUCUGUUUAGCAAGGAAGGCAGACCUGCAUACAUUGAAGUCAGCUCUAGGGACUUCUGGAACUAAAUUUAGAAACCCAGUGUCAUGCAAUAUCUAAAAAUAGAUU